GGCGGGGUUUUCAGUUUUCAAAUGCGCCGGGCGGGCGGGAAAGGCGGACGAUUUAACUGACCCGGAGGAGAAAGACAAGAAAGUAAAGGCUCCAGGCGAAGACUCUGCUGAAGCUUCUAACUGCAAAACCUAGUUGAGACUGGGACGUUGAGGACCAUCAAGAUUCUCCCUGCUGACCAUCAACCCUGCAACCCAGCUCCCCCAAGACCAGGGAACAAAGUCAAAUCUAAGAACACAGACUCUUAAGCCAGUUUCAGUGUGAGGUGCCCCCCCCCUUUCCUAGAUACAUGACAUCUUAUCCCUCUGACCUCAGUUUCCCCAUCAAUAAGAGAGCGCUAACUGUAAGCUCUAGAGAAAUUCUUGGAGGAAGGUAUGAACAGAACUGUCCAUGGCAACACACAGCAGUUGAGAACUGAAAAUACCCCAUGUGAGUGAAUGGACAAAUAGGGAAGAUUCCCGUAGUGGAAGAAUAUUCUAUAGCUAUGGAAAUGGAUGAGCUAAGCACCACUCCUGGGAUUCACUUAAAAUCAACCUUAAUGAACAAAAAGCAAGUCAUGCAAAAUCACACAGCCCGAGUCCACGCAUCUGAAGAUCAGAAACCAGCAGAACAAAAUAUUUAUGGUUACAAAUGAGGGUGGCAAAG